rnacentral:lncRNA from 1 species
AGUAAAUUUAAUGAAUGAUCACUGAACUUUAUAUUACAUUAUCACUUGCUCACUAAACAUUAAAACAUUACUGGUUGCUCACUCAUCUAUCAAAUUGUUUGCCGGUUGAUCACUCAUCAGAUUUCCAUUACCUUAAACUAAUAGAAUCUACAACGUGGCACGUCACACAUCAAAUGGGCCAAAAGUAUAGAAAGCCAUUCAUCUUCCUCAUCUUCUCCUUCAAGUUCUUGGACCCUGAAUGCAGCCUAGUCAGUGCAGCAGAUUGGGGGCGAACUUGAGUUUCGAUUUAGGACCUUCGUUCAUGGGUACACUGUGGCAAGAAAAUGGAAGUUGGAAUUGGGGGCGAUUUCAGGGUUCUUCUCGGAUUUGAGGGAGUAUUUAGGGUUUCGAUAAAUUAGGAAUCCAAAAAAAUUUCAUGGAAGCUACAACGGUCUAAUCUCUCGCAUAGUGUGCUCAUAGCCCAGCCUAAAGGUGAAGAGAUCGGUGGUAGAGAAGGCGAAUUUGGGUUGUUGUAGUUCCCACGAUUCGACGGCGGUGGAGGAGGGUAACAAUGGUGUCAAGAGUAGGUUUGGCGUUAGGUGGAAGUGGAUCUUCCGGCUCAUGGAGGUGGAAAUUUCGACUCACGUUCCACUCGUCGUCACUAGUUCUGUGGUUUUUGGUGGAGAAUGUAAGGGAGGCAGAGAUAGGAUUUCACCUGGGUUUUUUGUUGGACGGUGAGGAGUCUGUAAACCCAUGCCAGCCGAUAACUGACUCCAGGUCUGAUUUUCAGGUGAGUUUUUCGAUAUCACAUCUAAUUUAUGUGCCACGUGGGAUUUCCAUCUUCCACGUGGCAAAUUCCGUUAGUCUAGGAUGAGGGAGAUCAGUUGGGUGAUGAAUGGAUAAGCAAUUGGAUAGUUGAGUGAGCAAUGAAUAAUAUUAUAAUGUUUGGUGAGCAAGUAGUAAUAUACCCCCAAGUUCAAUGAGCAGUGAUUAAAUUUACUCA